ACACUGGUGGUUCAGUGGUAAAAUUCUCGCCUUCCACGUGGGAGACCUGGGCUCAGUUCCUGGCCAGCGUG
rnacentral:tRNA from 1 species